GCGGCCGCUCGGCGCGCGCGCUCCGGCGGGGAGCAGGCGACAACUAAUGGAGACAUUUCCAGGCGGAGCACCUGGCGAGCGGAGCGCGCCGGCGUCCCCAGGCGCCGCGGUCGUCAGCAGAGCCCGCACCGGCGUGACGUGGGCGAGCGAGCGCGCUGCUCCCACCCGGCCGCCCAUUAACGCUUUCCCCCGCGGGCGCCGUGCACUUGCCAACUUUGCCCUCCGCGCGGCUCGCGCGUCGGCUGCGUGGGGCGGAGGGGCUGGGACGAGGGGCGCCCCGGGAUGGGGGCAGGGACGCCCGUGGCGGGUUGGGCGGGAACGCCGGCCGGGAGCCGACAGCCCAGCCAUAACAGGACAGCAGGAAGGCGCGCCGCCUUGAUUUGACCAAAUGUUUGGCCUGCUGGGCCUCUCCAGGCGGCCUUGGACUCCUCAGGGACCCUCAGGGAGCCCUCCCUGCGGUCUGGCUGUACCACUCGGGGCCACUUGGGCCGGAGGAGCUGCGCCUGGAGACAGCCUUGCUUUUCUUGGCCCCAGUUCCCCGAGUCCCCCGAGCACCCCCUCGGCCGUGGUAUCCCACCCUGGAGCCCUGGAGAUUGGUUGAGGGCGCUGCGGCUGGCAGACCGGCGGGCUACUCCUCAGAAUAGACUGGACAUCCUGGCCCCCAGGCCUUUCCUUUCUUCUCCCCUCCACCCCCCAUUGCCCCUUCACACUAAGGGAGCCCAGCCUCUCCCCUGCUGCUGUCCACGCUGGUUCCCGCCCCUGCCCCCAGCUCUGCCGGUUGCAGGCCCUGGGCAGCCCCGAGAGCCUUGGUGUGGGCUGGAGGGCUUAGGCAGGUGUAGGCAGGUGUAGCAGGGUGACAAACUGCUCAGUUGCCGGGGAACCUGUGACCUGCCCCGGACUGGGCAGCCUGACACGGGAGCUUCUGGAGCUUCUGUGGACCCUCUGGAUCCCUGGCGGGCUGGGUCUCUGGCCUGGAAAUACACCUCCGCGUGACAGCCGGUGGUUUCUGCAUCCUGAGGCCUGGAGGGAAGCCGUCUGCAGACACUGGAGGGGCAGUACAUAUCGCUUGCUUCAGCAACAGCACACCGGGACAGUCUGUCUCCAGGCCUCAUCUGUCCCUCCAUUUCCUCCAUGGAGCAGAGCUUCCAUCCGGAAAAAGAAGAGAGCCAGCAGCCCCAGGCUUGCCUCCCCUCGUGCUGAAUCCAGAGCUUCUGGUGUCUUCUCUGGGAAGGACACAGUGUUGGUCUCUGGGCCUGCUCUGGAAACAUGAAGCCUCAUCUGGGCUACAGACCUGUGGGCAUCCGCCCAGACAUGCCAUGUGUCAGUGUAGCCCACAGGCUGACUCCGUGGGCUGACGGAAGGGGUCCUGGGAAGGGGUGCGACUAGGUAGGGAUGGGGAGGAAAGGGCCAUGGCACCCUCCUCGGGGAGAGGGGCUGGCUUCCAUCCUUGUCUUGCGGUUCAGCUCUCUUCUUUCCGUCUCCUCCCUCAUGCCCUGAGGGAUGCUUUCUGCAGGACCCUGGGGCCAACAGGGACAAGCAUGUCCAUCCUGCCCUGCAGAGCUUACCUGGGACUUAGAUUCUUUUCAUAGCUGAAGAUGAGCCAGGCAGGCUUGUGUUUACAAUCUCGAUCUGGAGAUAAACUCCUUUCGAAUUCACCAAGGCCUCUUUAACAACACAACAAACAAACGUGGGGAAGCAGGAGGCGAAGCCCCACAACCCCUGGGGUUUCCCUAGCUGGCCCCCACCAGCACCCCCAGAAGCAACAGAACCAGCCCAGGAGGGGCAACGUGCAGUGGGCUCCCUGGCCCUUCCCUUCACCCGCCUCCCCCAGAGACCCUCCUCGGUGUCCCAUUGCUUGAACGCCGUCAGGCCCGACCUUGCCUCGGACCCCUGACCAAGUGACCGGAAGCACCAGCAGACAUCCUCCACCCCUCGGCCAUUGACCUCCAGGGCAGGGAGUGGUCCCAGCCCUCUUGUCAGGUUGCCAUACCCUCCUGGGCUGGAACUCUGAGGACAUGAUGGAAAUACCCCAGGUCUCGGCCCGGGGGCCUAGCGGGGAAAGUCCCCGCUUGGCGUCCGUGAAUGAUCAGUCUGGAAAGCGAGUCUGCAGCUUUGGCCACCCCUGAAGGACAGAAGUCCUCCCGGGGGCUGACCUGCGGAUAGGCCCUGGCACGUGCGCUGCAGGGCAACAAGGCCAACGGCUGCCCCCACCAACCACCAUGCCCCCAGCUCUGGUCAGUCCUUGCUCCCCAUGAAGCAUCUCUCAAUCCCUCUUUUGUUUUCCCUGUUGGCAGAGACUUCGUGCAAUCUGAAACAAAAGUCUCCGUGCCCCCAGGACUUGGCCGUGCAGCCGCAUCCUCCCCCUCGCCUGAACGUUGCUGCAACACGCAGAGGCAUCUGGUGGUGGAAAACACUGUGAUGGAGCUGACUGGGCUGGCUCUGAUGCUGCCCCGGUGCCUGCCAUGGCCGAGGGGUCCUCAGCCUCAUUCUCCCCCCCUCCUCAGGGACCCAGGAGGGGCUAGAGGCUCUUCUCCAGGCCGAGGAGGAGGCUGCAGCAACUGGUCCUGAGUGAGGACGGCCUCAGAAGGAUUCCUGGACACUGGAGUCCCAAAGACGCUGUUGUCCUUGGAAGGGUCUGGCCUUUGUGUGAUGCAAACGUGGAAUUACUUAAUGCAGAAAGUCCGAGCAGUUUCCUUCUCAGAGCAGAGCGGUGUCCGGGGAAUAUGAUGUCUCGUCUAUCAUGCCGGAAUGCAUCAGCAGAUUUUAGGGAUGUUUCUAUUAUUAAAAGUGAAAAGCU